rnacentral:rRNA from 1 species
AUUGAACGCUGGCGGCAGGCCUAACACAUGCAAGUCGAGCGGAAACGAAAAGUAGCUUGCUACUCCGGCGUCGAGCGGCGGACGGGUGAGUAAUGCCUAGGAAAUUGCCCUGAUGUGGGGGAUAACCAUUGGAAACGAUGGCUAAUACCGCAUAAUGCCUACGGGCCAAAGAGGGGGACCUUCGGGCCUCUCGCGUCAGGAUAUGCCUAGGUGGGAUUAGCUAGUUGGUGAGGUAAUGGCUCACCAAGGCGACGAUCCCUAGCUGGUCUGAGAGGAUGAUCAGCCACACUGGAACUGAGACACGGUCCAGACUCCUACGGGAGGCAGCAGUGGGGAAUAUUGCACAAUGGGCGAAAGCCUGAUGCAGCCAUGCCGCGUGUAUGAAGAAGGCCUUCGGGUUGUAAAGUACUUUCAGUCGUGAGGAAGGGGGUAGUUGUUAAUAGCCAACAUCUCUUGACGUUUAGCUAACAGAAGAAG